rnacentral:rRNA from 1 species
AAAAUGACUCUCGGCAACGGAUAUCUAGGCUCUCGCAUCGAUGAAGAACGUAGCGAAAUGCGAUACUUGGUGUGAAUUGCAGAAUCCCGCGAAUCAUCGAGUUUUUGAACGCAAGUUGCGCCCGAAGCCUUCCGGCCGAGGGCACGUCUGCCUGGGUGUCACGC